AUUGAACGCUGGCGGCAGGCCUAACACAUGCAAGUCGAGCGGAUGAAGGGAGCUUGCUCCUGGAUUCAGCGGCGGACGGGUGAGUAAUGCCUAGGAAUCUGCCUGGUAGUGGGGGAUAACGUCCGGAAACGGGCGCUAAUACCGCAUACGUCCUGCGGGAGAAAGUGGGUGAUCUUCGGACCUCACGCUAUCAGAUGAGCCUAGGUCGGAUUAGCUAGUUGGUGGGGUAAAGGCCUACCAAGGCGACGAUCCGUAACUGGUCUGAGAGGAUGAUCAGUCACACUGGAACGGAGACACGGUACAGACUCCUACGGGAGGCAGCAGUGGGGAAUAUUGGACAAAGGGCGAAAGCCUGAUCCAGCCAUGCCGCGUGUGUGAAGAAGGUCUUCGGAUUGGAAAGCACGGUAAGUGGGGAGGAAGGGCAGUAAGUUAAUACCUUGCUGUUUUGACGGUACCAACAGAAUAAGCACCGGCUAACUUCGUG
rnacentral:rRNA from 1 species